CACUUAGGACGGUGGGAUUUCUAGACUUGAUCUAAAAAGGCGGUACAACUUUCUUCUCUUUCAUUUUAAAAUUCAUCGCCAGCUUCAGCCCAACCAAAAUGCCUCAAAGCCCUUUACGAACUUCUAAAUGAUUCAAGGUUAAGUCAAGGAGAAAAUAGUAGGAUUUAGCAUAAAGAAUCUUGUGAUCAUCACUGUAUUGUCUUCUUGUUAUACUGAUUUUGGAGAUACCCUGGAGGCGGAGAUAAUCGCCAUAGACGUGUGAGAAUUCAGGAAGCGUAACUAGUUCUUCAACAAGACAUGUACAGAUAGACCCGGUGACGUCCCUCCCUAGUAGGGUGUACAUUUCAACGGUUGGUUGCCACACUCCACUUAUUUGAAAUAACUGUACAUAAUUCAAUAAGUACUGGAGUAUGUGUCUUUAUCAUUUUGGGUAUGUGUAUGCGGUGAAAUCCAUAGGGUAAAAUUUUAUAGUCAUUAUGACGCUUCGUGGGCACGCCUCCAAAGGCUCGAGACAAUGGUCUAGGUUUGACCCCGAGAGGUUAUCAACGUUUGACCUCGGGGAAGUACAGAUCGGUAGUUGUGAUGGAAAAAUGGGAAGUUCCCAAGGCACGUGAUUUAGGCUGACCGAGUCUAUUAGGCUAGUAUAAGCCCGUACCGUGGUAUUAAAUGACUAUACCAACCAUAUAUCUAUGUAAUAAAUGCAUUUAUACUAUGUUGGAAUUCCCUCUCAUAUAUAAAGAGGACCCUUGUCAUUUUGUAAAGGAGGAGAAUAUCACACACAACAUUCAAUACAAGAACAUUCCCUGCUCUCUAACA